rnacentral:rRNA from 1 species
AUGGAUCCGAUAGCAGCGAGCACACCGUGGAGUACGUCAGCUCAGCUUCUGACGACGGCAUCAUUAAGAUCCCUGCUACCACUGAAGACUGCAAUUUCGAGGGACCUGAAACGGAGUUGCUUGUUCUCUGCAAUGAACAUGGGAUGGUCGCAGAAAGGCGUGUUGCUUUCGAAGGAAUCCACACUGGCAGAAGGUUUCCUUGCUGUGCCGAGAAGGAAGGUAGAAACUGUGGAUUAG